UCGACUUCCCUAGAGGGCAACAUGGAUUUCCCCAAAUGGUGUCGUUCUCGAGGGUAGUAGAUG
rnacentral:pre_miRNA from 1 species